UGAUUCCCUCUGCUAGAGCACAGACCCAAUGUGCCCAGCUGCAUCUGGCCCUUGCACAGCUCUCCCCAGGAUUUCAGUAGAACAGAGAGCUGUGCAUCUGCUCCUUGUGUCCACCUGAGCGCUGUGUAUGACAUUUGAGGAUUCAGUGGAAGCAGUUAGGAGAAGUUCCCACCGUGUCUGGAUCAUGGAUGCUUCUCAGAGGCAGUGAUGUCUAACUUAAAGCCAUCAAGCUGCAAAGUUAAUUAGGUGAGGAGGAGGAAAAGCAAGAUAAAAAGUGAAAACAACCCAGAUGUCCGUCAACUGAUGAAUGGAUAAGCAAAAUGUGGCACAUUUGUACAAUGGAAUAUUAUUCAGCCACAAAAAGGAAUGAGGAGAGCUGCCUCUCAGCUGAUGGGCUUAAGAUAUCCUAGAAGUCUCCGGGAUGAUU